rnacentral:lncRNA from 1 species
ACUCUAUUUACCAAAGAGAAACCACUUUUCAGAUGAGCGCUCUUGCAUCAAGGAAGUAGUGCUGAAGGGGGCGCUGGGCAGUAAGCGCCUGCGGCUUUAGCCAACCUCCGUUCAGAAAAGUGGGGCUGGGACUGAAAAACUGAGAGCGUCCAGGAAUCCUUAAAGUCCAGGGAGUACAGGAGGCUUCAGGGGCUCUGGUGGGCGGAGCCUGCGUCUCCGCCGAGAGGCGUGUCCUUGGCUCAUCCAAUCCGAGCACUAUCUGGGAGCCCCUUCGUCGCCUUGACAACACGACGCACAGGGUCUGGAGGAAUACAGUGGCAGUUUGGAUCCGAUCCUGGAGAAUUGAGUCAUGUCGCGACCAAAGAAUCAAAGUUAUAAGGGCCAUGGGUUGUCAAAAGGAAAAGAGCGAUACCAGAGUCUGCUGCAGAGGGAGCAGAUAAUGUCAGAGCCAGCGUCUUUGUGAUUGUUUUGACCUUUUCCUCCUGGACACUCAGUGGCUCUUGCAGCUCCAGCUUUCAUGUCAUGAUCAAGACAGGAGGAGGAGCAAGGAAACUGAAGCCAUAUCUCUGUUUUUCUCUCUAUUGAAAGAAUAAAACUUUCCCAGAAACCCAUCCUUCCUAGCAGUCUCAUGUUUUUAUCUUGUUGAUCAGAAUAGCAUCACAUGGCCACCCCUCACUGCAUGGAUGGCCUGAAAUGUAGUUACAUAAGUGAUGCUAUACUGUUGCUACUACUCUACAC